rnacentral:rRNA from 1 species
UACGUAGGGUGCAAGCGUUGUCCGGAAUUAUUGGGCGUAAAGAGCUCGUAGGCGGCCUGUUGCGUCCGCUGUGAAAGCCCGGGGCUUAACCCCGGGUCGGCAGUGGAUACGGGCAGGCUAGAGGUAGGUAGGGGAGAAUGGAAUUCCCGGUGUAGCGGUGAAAUGCGCAGAUAUCGGGAGGAACACCGGUGGCGAAGGCGGCGACCUGGACAGGUACUGACACUCAACUACGAAAGCGUGGGGAGCAAACAGG